UCAGAACAGGGAGCCUCAGGAUGUGU
rnacentral:piRNA from 1 species